rnacentral:rRNA from 1 species
UACCUGGCGGCGACCGGCAAACGGGUGCGGAACACGUACGCAACCUUCCCAAAACUGGGGAAUAGCCCUCCGAAAGGAGGAUUAAUACCCCGUAACACAAUUGAGAGGCAUCUCUUGAUUGUUAUAGCUCCGGCGGUUUUGGAUGGGCGUGCGGCUGAUUAGGUAGUUGGCGGGGUAACGGCCCACCAAGCCAUCGAUCAGUAACUGGUGUGAGAGCACGACCAGUCACACGGGCACUGAGACACGGGCCCGACUCCUACGGGAGGCAGCAGUAAGGAAUAUUGGUCAAUGGACGCAAGUCUGAACCAGCCAUGCCGCGUGAAGGAUGAAGGCCCUCUGGGUUGUAAACUUCUUUUAUCUGGGACGAAAAAAGGGGAUUCUUCCUCACUUGACGGUACCAGAGGAAUAAGCACCGGCUAACUCCGUGCCAGCAGCCGCGGUAAUACGGAGGGUGCAAGCGUUAUCCGGAUUCACUGGGUUUAAAGGGUGCGU